UCUUUCCUUGUCAUGGGGUGAGAGAGCUGCUCAAUGAACGUGUAGUGAGAGCGGCCCUGCUGACACCAUCACAACACUUGAGCACCACCUGAGCUUCUGCUCGGACCAUGGUGCAAUUUUUGGAAAC